UCCCUGGUGGCCCAGCUGGUUAAGGCGUCCGACUGUUAAUACGUCUAACGUGUGAGCAUAUCGGGAGAUCGACAGUUCGAUCCUGUCUCGGGGAG